rnacentral:rRNA from 1 species
UACGGAGGGUGCGAGCGUUGCUCGGAAUCACUGGGCGUAAAGGGCGCGUAGGCGGACUUUUAAGUCGGGGGUGAAAGCCCAGGGCUCAACCCUGGAAUUGCCUUCGAUACUGGGAGUCUUGAGUUCGGAAGAGGUUGGUGGAACUGCGAGUGUAGAGGUGAAAUUCGUAGAUAUUCGCAAGAACACCGGUGGCGAAGGCGGCCAACUGGUCCGAUACUGACGCUGAGGCGCGAAAGCGUGGGGAGCAAACAGG